rnacentral:rRNA from 1 species
AAAAGCGGAGGAAAAGAAACCAACAGGGAUUGCCCUAGUAACGGCGAGUGAAGCGGCAACAGCUCAAAUUUGAAAGCUGGCUCCGGCCCGCGUUGUAAUUUGCAGAGGAUGCUUCUGGCGAGGUGCCUUCCGAGUUCCCUGGAACGGGACGCCAUAGAGGGUGAGAGCCCCGUAUGGAUGGACACCAAACCUGUGUGAAGCUCCUUCAACGAGUCGAGUAGUUUGGGAAUGCUGCUCUAAAUGGGAGGUAAAUCUCUUCUAAAGCUAAAUACCGGCCAGAGACCGAUAGCGCACAAGUAGAGUGAUCGAAAGAUGAAAAGCACCUUGAAAAGGGGGUUAAACAGUACGUGAAAUUGUUGAAAGGGAAGCGCUUGUGACCAGACUUGCGCCGGGCAGCUCAUCAGGGGUUCUCCCCUGUGCACUCUGCCCGGCUCAGGCCAGCAUCGGUUCUCGUGGGAGGAUAAGAACGGUAGGAACGUGGCCCCCCUCCGGGGGGGUGUUAUAGCCUGCCGUACGAUACUCCCGUGGGGACCGAGGUUCGCGCUCCGCAAGGAUGCUGGCGUAAUGGUCAUCAGCGACCCGUCGUGAAAA